UGGGUCCAGGAUAAGACUUGGCCCAGGUUUCCAGCUUGCCCUCGAGACACCUGCAGCUACUCAACCGCCUGGACAGUCUUACCAUUUUAAUAUUUCUCAGCCCCUUUUCACCACUAAUUGCCCUGGCUUGUGCAAAGUAAGUUUGCUCUGGGAACGAGUUGUCAAGAGAUGUGACCAGGCAGACCUUCAGAAGGACAAGAUUAUAACUGGGCCCUUGUUCCCCAUUAUCCAAGUCUGCAUGUUUUAAGAUCUUUCUGGCAGUGGAGCCCCAGCAAUCCAGAGAGACAUAACAGAUGCAGACAUAGAGUUUCUGUUAACAGGUAUCUGGUGAAGACCUAUUCUUCAUAGAGAGCACCCUCUUUGUGUCUGUACACUUCAGAAGGGGCAAACAGCUUCUUCUCACCUCUUUUAUAAUAGCACUGAUUCCAUUCAUGAGGACUCCACCAUUCUUAUACUCUGGAUAUGGACUAUCCCCUCAAAAGCUCCUGUUAAUGCAGCAAUAUUAAGAGUUUCUUUUGUGCCCACCACCAUCUCCUUGGCUUUUCUGCUGUAGGGUAGUUCUUGUCUGGAGCCUCCUGUUCACAAGUGCCACUGGCUGACCUCUCCCCACAGAGAACCAGCAAUCAAAGGAUAUGAGUUCAAUAGGCACAGUCAGAUUGUUUUAUACUUCCCUAUUUGACUCCCAAUGGACCCUCUGUUUCUUUCAUUAUUAUUUUCUUGCCUUCUUUUGAACAUUGGAUUUGGCUGUCUUUUUCACAAGAAGUAACUGAAACCUAGUGCAAUUUAUUGGCAGCACCCUCCCACUGGUAAUGCUAGAAAACAGCCAUUAAUGCCUACAAAUAAUACAAUUCAAGAAAUGCUGCCAAGACAUUGUGACACCUUUUAUUUAUUUCCAUAUCAUAUUUCACAUUUAUGAUGAGAAUAUAAAGGAGGUCACUUAUAAAUAUCAACCAAAGGAAAACAAUUCAUUACAUUAUGAUGACCAUCUUGAAAUACUUUGUUGCUACCACAAAAAAAGUUAAAAAAUGUGUGGAAAUAUUUAGGCUAGACAUAAAAGGCAGGAUUCAAAUUGUAUUAUGUAAUGAUCACAACCAUAUGUUAGAUAUUUUCACAUAAGAACUGAGAAGGACUAUAAAAAAAUGUGGAGUGGAAAACAUUAUGAUGGGAGCAGGAUUUUGAGUUUUUCUCUCAUUAUUUAAAAUAUCGUUCAGCUUUUACUUAACUUUUAAAAGCAUUAGGCAGACAGUUUGAGUGUAAGAGUGCUGAAUAUCCAUUUCAGGAUCUUCAAAGAGGCAUUUGCUUGCCUGUGUUCAUUGCAGCAUUAUUCACAAAAGCCAAGAUGUGGAAACAACCUAAAUGUCCAUCCGUGGUUGAAUGGAUAAACAAUGUGGUAUACACUUACAAUGGAAUACUGUUGAACCUUAAAAUAGAAAGGAAUCCUGCCAUUUACGACAACGUGGAUGAACCUUGAGGAUAUCCUAAGUGAAAUAAGCCAGUCACAGAAAUACUGUUUGAUUCCACCUAUAUAAGGUAUCUGAAAUAGUCAAUCUCUGAAAACGGAGCAAAAUAGGAGAAGGAGAAAUGGGAAGUGAUAUUUAACAAGUAUAUAUUUCAGUUAUAUAAGAAGAAUAAAUUCUAGAGAUCUGCUAUACCAUGCUGUAUCUAGUUUAUAAUACUUAUUGCACACUUACAAAUCUGUUAAGAGGAUAAAUCUAGUGUUAAGUUUUCUUACCACAAUAAAUAUAAUUGAUUAUACACACACACACACACACACACACACACACACACAAACAUGUUGUGUUUGUAAAUUUUGCCUGCUCUACUCUCAAGCUGGGAAGUCAGGGGAUUGUUUCAGGAGAUUAGAGACUAUGUUUCACAUCACCCAUAUUGUUUGUUUCAGCUGUCAGGGCAGGAAAUAGAACAGGAUAAUCUUCAUUAUGAUUUAAAUCUCAGCAUCUGCCCUUAGAAAUGUGUUGAAGGCUUGGUCACCAGCCUGUGGUGCUAUCAGGAGGUGGGGAAACCUAUAAGAGGUGGGACAAGCAGAAUGACAUUCAGUCAUUGGGGAUGGAAACUUGAGAGGGAUAUUGGGACCUUGGUCCCUUGUGUCCCUUUACUUCCUGGCCACCAUGAGAUGAGAAGCUUUGCUCCACCACAUAUUCCCUACCAUGAUUUUUUGCCUCACUGCAAGCCCAAAGCAAUGGGCUCAGAAACUAUGGACUAAAAUGUUUAAAAUUGUGAAGCAAAACAAGUUUUUAAGUUGAUUCAUUUCAGGGAUUUUGUCACAGCAACAGAAAGCUUACUAAUACAAACUUCUAAUAUGCCCGUCUCCGUAGAUGAGUGAAGGCAGCAGCCUUCAAUGAAAUGAAACCAUUACAUUAGGAAACAAAAUGAUCAACAAGAUAAAAAUCUCCUCACUUGAAAUCCUCCGUGGACAUUAGCCAGUGAUAGUAGUUUUGAGUUGUGGCUUGAAAUAUUGUCAGACACUCAUCACAUCCACAUAUAGUUUCCUAAUUACCUCAUAGUUACUCUUUUAGAAAUUUGUUCAUGUCUGACAAAAAUACUUUUGGUUGUUAAAAAAUAGUAGCAUUAACUAAGCUACUGGCUAGUCUAAGAACAUAAUAACCCUGAAAGUAUUGAAGUGCUAUCUACUGCAAUGUAACUGAGAAAAAGAAGUGCUGUGGUCUGAAUGUUUAUGUCCCUUCAAAUUCAUAUGUUGAAAUCCUCAAUUCCAAGGCAAUGAUGUUAGGAGGCCAGGCCUUGGAAUAUGUUUUGUUCGUAGUGGAGUACUUUCAUGAUGGGACUUGUGCUCUUACUAUGCCCUUAUCACCAAAUCUACCACCAUAUCUUGAUCUGGGACUUCCCAGCUUCCAGAACUGUGGAAAAUAAAUUUCUACUAUCUAAAACCCA